AUAUGCCUACAACAUAGGGUUAAUGCAUAGGAUCCCAUUAGAACUCUGCAGUUAAGCACGCUCAUGCUAGAGUAGUAUUGGGAGGGGAAAUUUCUAGUGUUUUACAUGCC
rnacentral:rRNA from 1 species